rnacentral:rRNA from 1 species
ACGGCAUGGACUACGAGGGUAUCUAAUCCUCUUCGCUACCCAUGCUUUCGCUCCUCAGUGUCAGUAGUGACCCAGUAAGUUGCCUUCGCAUUUGGUGUUCUUUCUAAUAUCUACGAAUUUCACCCCUACACUAGAAAUUCCACUUACCUCUAUCACACUCUAGCUAAAAAGUUUUGAUGGCAGUUCCAAGGUUGAGCCUUGAGAUUUCACCAUCAACUUUUUUAACCACCUACGAGCUCUUUAAGCCCAGUAAUUCCGAACUACGCUAGGUCCCUUCGUAUUACCGCGGCUGCUGGCACGAAGUUAGCCGGACCUUCUUAUUCGGGUACAGUCAUUUUCUUCCCCGACGAAAGAGUUUUACAACCCAAGGGCCUUCUUCACUCACGCGGCAUCGCUGCAUCAGGGUUUCCCCCAUUGUG